UACGGAGGGUGCAAGCGUUAUCCGGAUUCACUGGGUUUAAAGGGUGCGUAGGCGGGUAUUUAAGUCAGUGGUGAAAGCUCCGGGCUUAACUUGGAAACUGCCAUUGAUACUGUAUAUCUUGAAUGUCGUAGAGGUUAGCGGAAUGUUGCAUGUAGCGGUGAAAUGCUUAGAUAUGUUACAGAACACCAAUUGCGAAGGCAGCUAACUAUGCGAUGAUUGACGCUGAGGCACGAAAGCGUGGGGAGCAAACAGG
rnacentral:rRNA from 1 species